UGUGUGGUCCAAUGAUGUGACCCUGGCCAACCACAUGGAGGCAGGAGGCCGGGCUGGGUGAGUAGGGGGGUCCAGGUGGGGGGGAUGGGGGCAAGGUGGGAGAGCCAGGGUCUCACCCUCUUGGCCACAUACAGCCGCAUCCACAUCACUCGGGCAACACUGCAGUACCUGAACGGGGACUACGAGGUGGAGCCAGGCCGUGGUGGCGAGCGCAACGCGUACCUCAAGGAGCAGCACAUUGAGACUUUCCUCAUCCUGGGCGCCAGCCAGAAACGGAAAGAGGAGAAGGCCAUGCUGGCCAAGCUGCAGCGGACUCGGGCCAACUCCAUGGAAGGGCUGAUGCCGCGCUGGGUGCCUGAUCGUGCCUUCUCCCGGACCAAGGACUCCAAGGCCUUCCGCCAGAUGGGCAUUGAUGAUUCCAGCAAAGACAACCGGGGCACCCAAGAUGCCCUGAACCCUGAGGAUGAGGUGGAUGAGUUCCUGAGCCGUGCCAUCGAUGCCCGCAGCAUUGAUCAGCUGCGGAAGGACCAUGUGCGCCGGUUUCUGCUCACCUUCCAGAGAGAGGAUCUUGAGAAGAAGUACUCCCGGAAGGUGGAUCCCCGCUUCGGAGCCUACGUUGCCUGUGCCCUGUUGGUCUUCUGCUUCAUCUGCUUCAUCCAGCUUCUCAUCUUCCCACAGCCCUGCAACGUCUGUCCCGCAGCAUUGUCCGCUCACGGGCACAUAGCACCGCAGUUGGCAUCUUUUCCGUCCUGCUUGUGUUUACUUCUGCCAUUGCCAACAUGUUCACCUGUAACCACACCCCCAUACGGACCUGUGCAGCCCGGAUGCUGAAUUUAACACCUGCUGACAUCACUGCCUGCCACCUGCAGCAGCUCAAUUACUCUCUGGGCCUGGAUGCUCCCCUGUGUGAGGGCACCAUGCCCACCUGCAGCUUUCCU
rnacentral:sRNA from 1 species